UAUGAGAGUUUGAUCCUGGCUCAGGACGAACGCUGGCGGCGUGCCUAAUACAUGCAAGUCGAACGCUUCUUUUUCCAUCGGAGCUUGCUCCACCGGAAAAAGAGGAGUGGCGAACGGGUGAGUAACACGUGGGUAACCUGCCCAUCAGAAGGGGAUAACACUUGGAAACAGGUGCUAAUACCGUAUAACAAUCGAAACCGCAUGGUUUUGAUUUGAAAGGCGCUUUCGGGUGUCGCUGAUGGAUGGACCCGCGGUGCAUUAGCUAGUUGGUGAGGUAACGGCUCACCAAGGCGACGAUGCAUAGCCGACCUGAGAGGGUGAUCGGCCACAUUGGGACUGAGACACGGCCCAAACUCCUACGGGAGGCAGCAGUAGGGAAUCUUCGGCAAUGGACGAAAGUCUGACCGAGCAACGCCGCGUGAGUGAAGAAGGUUUUCGGAUCGUAAAACUCUGUUGUUAGAGAAGAACAAGGAUGAGAGUAACUGUUCAUCCCUUGACGGUAUCUAACCAGAAAGCCACGGCUAACUACGUGCCAGCAGCCGCGGUAAUACGUAGGUGGCAAGCGUUGUCCGGAUUUAUUGGGCGUAAAGCGAGCGCAGGCGGUUUCUUAAGUCUGAUGUGAAAGCCCCCGGCUCAACCGGGGAGGGUCAUUGGAAACUGGGAGACUUGAGUGCAGAAGAGGAGAGUGGAAUUCCAUGUGUAGCGGUGAAAUGCGUAGAUAUAUGGAGGAACACCAGUGGCGAAGGCGGCUCUCUGGUCUGUAACUGACGCUGAGGCUCGAAAGCGUGGGGAGCAAACAGGAUUAGAUACCCUGGUAGUCCACGCCGUAAACGAUGAGUGCUAAGUGUUGGAGGGUUUCCGCCCUUCAGUGCUGCAGCUAACGCAUUAAGCACUCCGCCUGGGGAGUACGACCGCAAGGUUGAAACUCAAAGGAAUUGACGGGGGCCCGCACAAGCGGUGGAGCAUGUGGUUUAAUUCGAAGCAACGCGAAGAACCUUACCAGGUCUUGACAUCCUUUGACCACUCUAGAGAUAGAGCUUCCCCUUCGGGGGCAAAGUGACAGGUGGUGCAUGGUUGUCGUCAGCUCGUGUCGUGAGAUGUUGGGUUAAGUCCCGCAACGAGCGCAACCCUUAUUGUUAGUUGCCAUCAUUUAGUUGGGCACUCUAGCAAGACUGCCGGUGACAAACCGGAGGAAGGUGGGGAUGACGUCAAAUCAUCAUGCCCCUUAUGACCUGGGCUACACACGUGCUACAAUGGGAAGUACAACGAGUCGCAAAGUCGCGAGGCUAAGCUAAUCUCUUAAAGCUUCUCUCAGUUCGGAUUGUAGGCUGCAACUCGCCUACAUGAAGCCGGAAUCGCUAGUAAUCGCGGAUCAGCACGCCGCGGUGAAUACGUUCCCGGGCCUUGUACACACCGCCCGUCACACCACGAGAGUUUGUAACACCCGAAGUCGGUGAGGUAACCUUUUGGAGCCAGCCGCCUAAGGUGGGAUAGAUGAUUGGGGUGAAGUCGUAACAAGGUAGCCGUAUCGGAAGGUGCGGCUGGAUCACCUCCUUU
rnacentral:rRNA from 1 species